UACAGAGGGGGCAAGCGUUGUUCGGAAUUACUGGGCGUAAAGGGCGCGUAGGCGGCCUGUUAAGUCGAACGUGAAAUCCCCGGGCUCAACCCGGGAACUGCGUCCGAUACUGGCAGGCUUGAAUCCGGGAGAGGGAUGGCGGAAUUGCCAGGUAGUUACGCGGAUGAAAUGCGGUAGAAUAUCUGGAGGAACACCUGUGGC
rnacentral:rRNA from 1 species